UAGUAGAGGUCAUGACAUAAACAAACCAAUAGAGAGAGUGGCAGGUAGUAGAGGUCAUGACAUAAACAAACCAAUAGAGAGAGUGGCAGGUAGUAGAGGUCAUGACAUAAACAAACCAAUAGAGAGAGAGUGGCAGGUAGUAGAGGUCAUGACAUAAACAAACCAAUAGAGAGAGAGUGGCAGGUAGUAGAGGUCAUGACAUAAACAAACCAAUAGAGAGAGUGGCAGGUAGUAGAGGUCAUGACAUAAACAAACCAAUAGAGAGAGUGGCAGGUAGUAGAGGUCAUGACAUAAACAAACCAAUAGAGAGAGUGGCAGGUAGUAGAGGUCAUGACAUAAACAAACCAAUAGAGAGAGUGGCAGGUAGUAGAGGUCAUGACAUAAACAAACCAAUAGAGAGAGUGGCAGGUAGUAGAGGUCAUGACAUAAACAAACCAAUAGAGAGAGUGGCAGGUAGUAGAGGUCAUGACAUAAACAAACCAAUAGAGAGAGUGGCAGGUAGUAGAGGUCAUGACAUAAACAAACCAAUAGAGAGAGUGGCAGGUAGUAGAGGUCAUGACAUAAACAAACCAAUAGAGAGAGUGGCAGGUAGUAGAGGUCAUGACAUAAACAAACCAAUAGAGAGAGUGGCAGGUAGUAGAGGUCAUGACAUAAACAAACCAAUAGAGAGAGUGGCAGGUAGUAGAGGUCAUGACAUAAACAAACCAAUAGAGAGAGUGGCAGGUAGUAGAGGUCAUGACAUAAACAAACCAAUAGAGAGAGUGGCAGGUAGUAGAGGUCAUGACAUAAACAAACCAAUAGAGAGAGUGGCAGGUAGUAGAGGUCAUGACAUAAACAAACCAAUAGAGAGAGUGGCAGGUAGUAGAGGUCAUGACAUAAACAAACCAAUAGAGAGAGUGGCAGGUAGUAGAGGUCAUGACAUAAACUAACCAAUAGAGAGAGUGGCAGGUAGUAGAGGUCAUGACAUAAACAAACCAAUAGAGAGAGUGGCAGGUAGUAGAGGUCAUGACAUAAACUAACCAAUAGAGAGAGUGGCAGGUAGUAGAGGUCAUGACAUAAACAAACCAAUAGAGAGAGUGGCAGGUAGUAGAGGUCAUGACAUAAACAAACACAUUUAGAGUUUGGGACCAAAAGGUUCUGUCUGCAUAAAGAUUAUUCUGAGAUAAUUGGCUUUACAUUUUCCUCGUUGAUUUGAAUGGUGUCAGCUAUUUUUUAUCUUGUAUUCUUUUGAACUUAACAUGAAUUGGGGUAUUUAGAGUAUAUAUAUAUAUAUAUAUGUUGAGAACAUUGAAAAGAACAAGGCUAAAUGUCAAUAACUCAAUUUGAACAAAAAUACAGAUAGACGCUUAACAAACAUUGAAGUAAAACAAGCAUAUAUUUGGGGUUCUGAUAGGGGUAUAACACUUGAACUACACUCAUGAGGAAUUUAUAAACAUUCAAGAAUCAAUAAAUAUCAUACAUUUAUUAGUCAUAAAAUGAUUGCCCCUUUAAAGCAAUAAAUCAUGUUUGAAUGAGUGGUGAGGCAGAGAACAGUAUAAAAGAGUACUUUUGCCUAAAAUGUAUUUGAUCAAUACAGACUUAUUUGCAUAACAGGAUUCUCAACAACAAACAAUUUCUUCCACUUUCUUGAGUCACAGGAGCAACAAA